CGGCAAGUUGAGUAGUAAUACUUAACCUAGAGCGGCGCACGGGUGCGUAACGCGUAUGCAACCUACCUUUUACUGGGGGAUAGCCCGGAGAAAUCUGGAUUAAUACCCCAUGGUAUCUACGAAUCGAUUGGUUUGUAGCUUAAAGAUUUAUCGGUAAGAGAUGGGCAUGCGUCUGAUUAGCUAGUUGGCGGGGUAACGGCCCACCAAGGCGACGAUCAGUAGGGGUUCUGAGAGGAAGGUCCCCCACACUGGCACUGAGAUACGGGCCAGACUCCUACGGGAGGCAGCAGUAGGGAAUAUUGGGCAAUGGUCGCAAGACUGACCCAGCCAUGCCGCGUGCAGGAUGAAGGCCCUCUGGGUUGUAAACUGCUUUUAUCUGGGAAGAAAAAGUCCAUGCGUGGAAAAUUGCCGGUACCAGAUGAAUAAGCACCGGCUAACUCCGUGCCAGCAGCCGCGGUAAUACGGAGGGUGCAAGCGUUGUCCGGAUUUAUUGGGUUUAAAGGGUGCGUAGGCGGCUGAAUAAGUCAGCGGUGAAAGACUUCGGCUUAACCGGAGCAGUGCCGUUGAUACUGUUUAGCUUGAGUGUUGGAGGGGUACAUGGAAUUGAUGGUGUAGCGGUGAAAUGCAUAGAUACCAUCAGGAACACCGAUAGCGAAGGCAUUGUACUGGCCAACAACUGACGCUGAGGCACGAAAGUGUGGGGAUCGAACAGGAUUAGAUACCCUGGUAGUCCACACCGUAAACGAUGAUUACUCGCUGUUAUGUUGUAUAGUGUAGCGGCCAAGCGAAAGCGUUAAGUAAUCCACCUGGGGAGUAC
rnacentral:rRNA from 1 species